rnacentral:rRNA from 1 species
UACGGAGGGUGCAAGCGUUAUCCGGAUUCACUGGGUUUAAAGGGUGUGUAGGCGGGUCAUUAAGUCAGUGGUGAAAUCUCCAGGCUCAACCUGGAAACUGCCAUUGAUACUAUUGAUCUUGAAUUUUGUUGAGGUAGGCGGAAUAUAUCAUGUAGCGGUGAAAUGCUUAGAUAUGAUAUAGAACACCGAUUGCGAAGGCAGCUUACUAAGCAAAUAUUGACGCUGAGGCACGAAAGCGUGGGGAUCAAACAGG